ACAAGGGGGAAUUUCGUCCUCAACCAAUCAGCAUCUUUGUUUACAUUUUGACUCUAAACCAAUCAGAAUGCGUAUAACGCGAAUGCUUGUAAACAAGCAAGGUGGUCACUCUCGAGCUUCGUUGCCAUCGGAUGUUUAAUAUUUUCUCAUGAAAUCAAGAAAUGUUGAUUAGAAAGGAAUUAUCCUAAACUUCACCGCGGCGAUUUUUGAUUUAUGGCGUUUUCGCGAAGAUAUCGACGUCAAAACUUUGCCCUGGUUAUAAGCCUAACUAAUACUCCUUCGAAUAGGCUGAAUAGACAAACCUAAACGAAUUGGUCUAAUUAUAGCUGGUUUUAGAAAUAGCUCAAAUUGGCAUAUUUAAAAAUUAACUUACUGUAUUGAUUUACUUCCUGUUCACAAUUAGCGGAAUAAUUUCCGGCGCUGCUAUCACUUCAUAUACUUGGCGUGUUAGCAUAAAACCUUAACGUCAAGAUGGCGAACCCUCAAAUCUGCGCCAGGCAGAAACUUUUAAAAUCAAAUCGAGAACAGUUCGCGUGUUUGUGGUUUCAUCUUGGAUGUCGCUUUCAACAUCGUCGUCAUCGCUGUACUCAUUGCUGUUCUCAGUCUCAUCGCUCGAGUCGUCUACGUCGAAAUCUUGCUCGUCAGAUUCAGGAUUGAAAUCAUGGACUGCUUUGUUUGCUGUCUCUCCGAGUGAUGCGGCCUUCGACUUGACGAAUUCUUUGCAGAUCUCGCACACGCUUAUAUCCGGAAGAUUGCACUCGAUGUGAAACGAAUGCCCACAGCCAUAGAAAAUGCGCCAUAAUGUGCUUUGACGAGUGCACUGAAUGCUAUCACACAAUCUGGAUUUAAGAGAAGGCAUCAAUCUCUUUGGCCUUCUCUUGAAUUCUUUCAGCAGUGUCUGUUUCGUUUGUCCUUGCUCGAAGCAACGAAUGAAAAUUCUCCACAGGGUACUCAUCAAGAGCUACCAGGAAUUGCUGAAUGACUUUGUGCAUUGGGUGAGUGGUUUCAUUCCAAUAUUGGAAGGUAGAGAGAACAAUAAGCAGUGCCUUGUUAUAGUGUCUUCGGUGAAAUACUGUCAUCAUAAUCCAACAGCGAAGCAGUGAUUUGCAAUAGAGUUCGUAGUUGCUGCACUUGAAGACUACUGAGUAAAUGCUGAGGACAAGUGGGAUGUAGUUGUCAAUAAGAUUGAGUAAGGAUCAAAGUACUUUGCUACUGCCCAGUCUGGCAUGGUACUUGCAUAGGUUUGGGAACAAAUGCUCAUAUUCUCAACUAGGAACUUUUUCAGUAAACUUUCCUCCACUGGAUUGGCAGGUAGUAAGGGUUGCAGGGAAUUGCUACGGACAGCCUUGAUGUUGGGGAAAACUUUUACCAAUAGAGUGGAGGUGUGCACUGCUUGGGUUUGAGUCUUGGCUUCAGUUUGAAAGAAUAAUUUUACUCUAUCAAGGUGGGAAGCUGAAGAGGUCACCUUCGAUAUUAACAGCUGAAGAUUUACAAAGCUCCUCAUAUUCUCCUUUGGAAAUGAAAAUACCUUCAGAUGUCUGGCAUUCAACACUUGCUGUCGUCAGUUUAAAAUCAGCUUUAGAGUCUUGACUUGGGGAAAGCAACGAAACAGUUGACUCGGUGCCUUGACUACUAGAAAACUGAAUAAUGGCAGGACUUGCAGCUUGGUUUUCUUGGUUGUUGGUUAACUGGGUGUUAAGGAUACUUGUGGAUGGCAUCUCAUCAUCUUCUCUAUUGUUGGAUUCAGUUGGCAGAUAAGUAGACAGACCGUCAAGCUAUCAUUAGAGAAUGUAAACUUUAAUAUUACAAUCUUAACCCCAAAUUACAAUAUAAAAAUAUAGGUAGAGAAGAACAGGUAGCUAUUAAAAAAUACUGUGCAAAAUAAUUUGGGUCAAAAUCUUAAUUGCCAAAAUGUUCCAUCUUUGCAAAGAAGUGACAGUUUGUGCUAUCUGGAGUUAUAUGCAAUGCAGUUACGGAGCAAUAAAAGCAAUGCAGUUACAAUUCUGUUUUUUAUUAUUACCUUCCUUGUAAUAUCGUCAGUAGUGAGUUUUUUUGGCAAAUAGCGAGUAAAGUUCCUCUUUUUGAGACACACGCGAAUGCAGUUCUUGCAAAGAUGACUGAUUUCUUUUGUCGUUUUAAUUUGUUUUUCACGAACCAAAAACUGAGCAAGUGCUUUUGCCAACUCGCCCCAACCAAAUCCUUUUAACUUGACCACUCUUGAGCCUUUACACGCUCCUGACCACUCAUGGUGAAGAGGAUUAUUACAAAGUUUCGUAAAUUUCGGCAUUUAAAAGCGAUAACAACAAAGAAAGCUACAGACCUCGAAAGUGUUUAGUGUUUGAAUGAAAAGUUUCCCGCGGGCGGGAAAGGAAAAUGUAAUGAUUGAACCAGUGAGGUUUGAACAUGUUUCGAACAGGGUUUCUUUGCUAUGUCUAUGUAUAGGAGACGUUUAUAAUCAUAGGAUGGUUAACAUUAUUUAAGCUUAUAGCUUUUAAAAUUAAAUUGUAGUCAUUUUAGUAUCCAUAGGCUGAUAGGAAUGGACAGAGAAGCUGUUAAAAUGUCUUCAAACGAUAUUUUCAAAGCGUUUUAUUCUGGUUUUGUUUAUUCGAAGGAGUAUUAGUUAGGCUUAUAACCAGGGCAAAGUUUUGACGUCGAUAUCUUCGCGAAAACGCCAUAAAUCAAAAAUCGCCGCGGUGAAGUUUAGGAUAAUUCCUUUCUAAUCAACAUUUCUUGAUUUCAUGAGAAAAUAUUAAACAUCCGAUGGCAACGAAGCUCGAGAGUGACCACCUUGCUUGUUUACAAGCAUUCGCGUUAUACGCAUUCUGAUUGGUUUAGAGUCAAAAUGUAAACAAAGAUGCUGAUUGGUUGAGGACGAAA
rnacentral:lncRNA from 1 species